rnacentral:tRNA from 1 species
CAAAUUAGAGCUUGAUUAAGUAUUUCAUUUACAUUGAAAUGAUAUUGAUGUUAUUCAAUUAAUUUGA